rnacentral:sRNA from 1 species
GCUGGGUGCAGUGGCACAGGCCUGUAAUCCCAGCAGCUUGGGAGGCUGAGGCAGGAGGAUCGUGAGUUCAAAACCAGCCUCAGCAAAAGUGAGGCACUAAGCAACUUAGUGAGACCCUGUCUCUA